rnacentral:rRNA from 1 species
AGAGUUUGAUCCUGGCUCAGAACGAACGCUGGCGGCAGGCCUAACACAUGCAAGUCGAGCGAACCUUCGGGUUAGCGGCGGACGGGUGAGUAACGCGUGGGAAUGUGCCCUUCUCUACGGAAUAGUCCCGGGAAACUGGGUUUAAUACCGUAUACGCCCUUCGGGGGAAAGAUUUAUCGGAGAAGGAUCAGCCCGCGUUGGAUUAGGUAGUUGGUGGGGUAAUGGCCUACCAAGCCGACGAUCCAUAGCUGGUUUGAGAGGAUGAUCAGCCACACUGGGACUGAGACACGGCCCAGACUCCUACGGGAGGCAGCAGUGGGGAAUCUUAGACAAUGGGGGAAACCCUGAUCUAGCCAUGCCGCGUGAGUGACGAAGGCCCUAGGGUCGUAAAGCCCUUUCGCCAGGGAUGAUAAUGACAGUACCUGGUAAAGAAACCCCGGCUAACUCCGUGCCAGCAGCCGCGGUAAUACGGAGGGGGUUAGCGUUGUUCGGAAUUACUGGGCGUAAAGCGCACGUAGGCGGACUAUUAAGUCAGGGGUGAAAUCCCGGGGCUCAACCCCGGAACUGCCUUUGAUACUGGUAGUCUUGA